rnacentral:rRNA from 1 species
CUUGGUCAUUUAGAGGAAGUAAAAGUCGUAACAAGGUUUCCGUAGGUGAACCUGCGGAAGGAUCAUUACUGAAAUGUAAUAACUUCUAUUGAAAGGUUCCAGAGUAGGCGCUACAACGCCGAAAUGACCUUCUCACCCUUGUGUACUCACUAUGUUGCUUUGGCGGGUCGACCUGGUUCCGACCCAGGCGGCCGGCGCCCCCAGCCUUAACUGGCCAGGACGCCCGGCUAAGUGCCCGCCAGUAUACAAAACUCAAGAAUUCAUUUUGUGAAGUCCUGAUAUAUCAUUUAAUUGAUUAAAACUUUCAACAACGGAUCUCUUGGUUCUGGCAUCGAUGAAGAACGCAGCGAAAUGCGAUAAGUAAUGUGAAUUGCAGAAUUCAGUGAAUCAUCGAAUCUUUGAACGCACAUUGCGCCCUCUGGUAUUCCGGAGGGCAUGCCUGUUCGAGCGUCAUUUCAACCCUCAAGCUCUGCUUGGUAUUGGGCAACGUCCGCUGCCGGACGUGCCUUGAAGACCUCGGCGACGGCGUCCUAGCCUCGAGCGUAGUAGUAAAAUAUCUCGCUUUGGAGUGCUGGGCGACGGCCGCCGGACAAUCGACCUUCGGUCUAUUUUUCCAAGGUUGACCUCGGAUCAGGUAGGGAUACCCGCUGAACUUAAGCAUAUCAAUAAGCGGAGGA